GGAAAGGAGUGAAUAAUUUUCAAAGAAGUGAAGGAUUUUUUUUUUUAAGUUCAUUUUGCAACUUGGAAUUUCUGCGGCCAUGAGGAAGUCUGUAAGUCCCAGAAAAGGAUGGCUAGAAGGCCUUGCUGUUAUUGGAUGUGCUGCUCUCCAAAAGAGAUGGGUGACUCACUCUUCCACCAAGGAACAAGGACAGACCUAACCCCUUAAUGAGAGAACUCCUUGGUCAAGUGAUGCCCAUCUCCAAUCUGGAUUCAGAAGAGGAGAGCACAACCCUGCCUCUUCCCAUUCUGUCUCCCAGCACCUAUAUGUUUCUCCAACUAAUAGCACUUCCCUGGGUGUUUAUCGAACUGUAUUGAAGGAAAC
rnacentral:lncRNA from 1 species